rnacentral:rRNA from 1 species
GACGGAGGAUGCAAGCGUUAUCCGGAAUGAUUGGGCGUAAAGCGUCCGCAGGUGGCAGUUCAAGUCUGCUGUCAAAGACCGGGGCUUAACUUCGGAAAGGCAGUGGAAACUGAACAGCUAGAGUAUGGUAGGGGCAGAGGGAAUUCCUGGUGUAGCGGUGAAAUGCGUAGAGAUCAGGAAGAACACCUGUGGUGUAGACAGCUUACUGGACCACUUCUGACGCUGAGACACGAAAGCGUGGGUAGCAAACAGG